AGUCUGGUGCCAGCACCCGCGGUAAUUCCAGCUCUUAUAGUGUAUAUUAAAGUUGUUGCAGUUAAAAAGCUCGUAGUCUAAUAUCUAGUGCGGCGCGUGCUGGCUCACUGCCAGCGCGACGCGGUGCUAUCUGUUCGAGAACUUCUUCUAUCUUAACUGGUCGGAGAUGCUGAUCGGACUCUUUCCUGAGAAAAAAUUAGAGUGUUUAAAGCAGGCUAAUGCAAUGAAUAUUACAGCUUGGAAUAAUAGAAUAAGACUGGAGUGUCUUUUGUUGGUUACGAACUUUAGUAAUGGUUAAUAUAAACAGUCGGGGGUAUUAGUAUUUAAGUGUCAGAGGUGAAAUUCUAUGAUUACUUAAAGACUAACUUAUGCGAAAGCAUUUACCAAGGAUGUUUUCAUUGAUCAAGAACGAAAGUUAGGGGAUCAAAGACGAUCAGAUACCGUCCUAGUCUUAACUAUAAACGAUUCCGACCAAGGAUCGGGGAGGUCUGCUAAGCCGUCUCGGCACUUUAUGAGAAAUCAAAGUCUUUGGGUUCUGGGGGAAGUACGGACACAAGUCUGAAACUUAAAGGAAUUGACGGAAGGGCACACAAGAUGUGGAGACUGCGGCUUAAUUUGACUCAACACGGGGAAACUUACUAGAGCAAGACUAAGGUUGGAUUGACAGAAUGAGAGCUCUUUCUUGAUUCUUAGGGUGGUGGUGCAUGGCCGUUCUUAGUUGGUGGAGUGAUUUGUCUGGUUAAUUCCGUUAACGAACGAGACUUUAACCUGCUAAACUAGGAGCCGGAUUACUCAUCUGGUUUCCUUCUUAGAGGGACUACGUGUUCAAGCACAAGGAAGUUUGAGGCAAUAACAGGUCUGUGAUGCCCCUAGACGUUCUAGGCCGCACGCGUUCUACAAUGACGUAUUCAACGAGUUUCUUCCUGGCCUGGAAAGGUUCGGGUAAUCUUCAUAGGAUACAGUCGUGCUUUGGGAUUGUCCUUUGCAAUUAUAGGACAUAAACUAGGAAUAUCUAGUAUAGGUGCGUCAUCAGCGCACCUAGAUUAAGUCCCUGCCCUUUGUACACACCGCCCGUCGCUCCUACCGAUUUUGAGUGAUUAGGUGAACCUUCUGGAUCAGCGUGGUCUUCAAGUCCAUGCUGAGAAGUUAAGUAAAUCAUUAUCACUUAGAGGAAGGAGAAGUCGUAACAAGGU
rnacentral:rRNA from 1 species